UUGGGAGGAAGGACAGCCCAGCUGCCCCAGGAAGCAGACUUCCCUGAAGGAGCACCAGCAGGCCCAGUCCCCCCACCUCAACCAGCAGCCACACAGGUCUGGCUCCUCCUGAGACACUGUCACUGAAGAUCCAGCCCCCACGAUGCUCCUGGAUUG